ACUGUUAGUCUGACUCGGUCCUGCGCCACUUUCCACCGCGGUGAUAUUCCAAGCAAAACGGUUAUCACCGGGUGAAAAUUGGUACAGGUCCGAUCCUCUUCU
rnacentral:pre_miRNA from 18 species